rnacentral:rRNA from 1 species
AAUAGAUACCCAGGUAGUCCACGCCGUAAACGAUGGAAGCUAGCCGUUGGCAGGUUUACCUGUCGGUGGCGCAGCUAACGCAUUAAGCUUCCCGCCUGGGGAGUACGGUCGCAAGAUUAAAACUCAAAGGAAUUGACGGGGGGCCCGCACGAAGCGGUGGAGCAUGUGGUUUAAUUCGAAGUCAACGCGCAGAACCUUACCAGCCCUUGACAUCCCGGUCGCGGUUACGAGAGAUCGUAUCCUUCAGUUCGGCUGGACCGGAGACAGGUGCUGCAUGGCUGUCGUCAGCUCGUGUCGUGAGAUGUUGGGUUAACGUCCCGCAACGAGCGCAACCCUCGCCCUUAGUUGCCAUCAUUCAGUUGGGCACUCUAAGGGGACUGCCGGUGAUAAGCCGAGAGGAAGUGGGGAUGACGUCAAGUCCUCAUGGCCCUUAGGGCUGGGCUACACACGUGCUACAAUGGUGGUGACAGUGGGCAGCGAGCACGCGAGUGUGAGCUAAUCUCCAAAAGCCAUCUCAGUUCGGAUUCG